UGGCCGCUGGAGCUCUUUUGCCGGACCGAGGGCCGCUGCGUGUGCAGCGUGUGCACCGUGCGCGAGUGUCGCCUCCACGAGCGGGCGCUGCUGGACGCCGAGCGCCUCAAGCGCGAGGCCCAGCUGAGAGCCAGCCUAGAGGUUACCCAGCAGCAGGCCACGCAGGCCGAAGGCCAGCUACUAGAGCUGCAGAAGCAAAGCAGCCAGAUCCAGGUACAAGGCCUGUCUGCCCGCUCACCAUGGCCUCACACUGCAUCCUGGGGGCGGCCACCAGCUGGUCCCUGGAAUACUAGGCAGCAGGGAGUGGGGCUGGGCAGGGAUCUGGGCACAGGGGUCGUGGGGAGGUUCCCGGGACCCUGCCUCCCCACAUCCUGACCCUCAGC
rnacentral:sRNA from 1 species